rnacentral:rRNA from 1 species
UACGUAGGGUGCGAGCGUUAAUCGGAAUUACUGGGCGUAAAGCGUGCGCAGGCGGCUUUGCAAGACAGAUGUGAAAUCCCCGGGCUUAACCUGGGAACUGCAUUUGUGACUGCAAGGCUAGAGUGCGGCAGAGGGGGAUGGAAUUCCGCGUGUAGCAGUGAAAUGCGUAGAUAUGCGGAGGAACACCGAUGGCGAAGGCAAUCCCCUGGGCCUACACUGACGCUCAUGCACGAAAGCGUGGGGAGCAAACAGG